UAUUUUGCAAAAAAAACACUCUGAGAAUUGUCGAUAAGAAAGCGUUGGAAAUACCAAACUGAAAAUGCGUCACUUGUUUCUUCUUUCAGUAGACAAUGGCGUUCUCGAGUACCUUCUCCGUUACUCCGGCAUUUCUCUGCGACAACAUUCGCUGGUUCCCUCAUCCCAGUCAUAUGCAUCAGGCAGUAAAUGCUCGUACGAGGCUCAGACCCAUCAGUGCCAAGCUCGCAGAGAAGGCCGCGUUGCGGUACAAGAAACUUGGGGAUUCUGAUCUUGAAGUGAGCGAAAUUACUCUUGGAACUGUAAGAAUUUCUUUUGGUAAUUUUUUUUCUAAUAUAGCAUAUACAAUGUCCCUAUUGUUCGAUGACAAUAAUUGGCUUUCUCUAUAUUUGUCGAAUUGAAUUGAGCAAUGUAUGUUUGUUGUGAAUUAUCAAUUCUAUUGUCAUAAAUUCACUACUUCCAGUUUCUAUUCUACUUGGUGGGUUUUAUGAAUGCUUGAAUUUCCAGUAUUUGGUCCUUGGUGGGUUUUAUGUAAUGCUUAAAUUUCCAUUAUUUGGUCCUUUAGCUUUGUUUGGUCAAAUGUGGGUUUUCCGCCAUUACUGAUAUAGUUUAGUUUUAUGUUUGAUAUGGUAUGCCAGUAAUUGUCUUGGUAAUCUUUAACCUUAAAGUGGACUACAAAUCUUGUUAGGAAUAGCUGGGAUUCUUAUAUAUAUAACUGAAAUAUGUAAGCAGCUAACGUCUGUUAAGACGCCGAGUGAUUUCAAGGGACACAUCGAUGACUGGAAAAUGAAUGUGGAUUUGGAAUUGGUCAUGGGAACACUUAACUUCAAGAGCGAAAAUAGUACAGAAAUCUGAAAUUAUCUAUGUGUAUAUAUAUUUUUGCAACUAAUUUCCUUCAAUUUUUAAUUUCGUUUCCCCAACACUUGUCUCUUUGUUUUACGCAUGUGUUCUUGUAAGACAACUUCUAUAACUCCCUGCCUUCUUGCUGUUAGUAUCUCAUAAUUAAUUACCAAAUUUGUUUCUCAAUAUGGCUUGUCUAAGGCAUCUUAUGUUAUGAAAAGCAAAGUUUUGCUUCUGUACAGCCAAGUAUAAGAUCUUUUAAGUUUAUGUAACUUUUUGUAUUAUUUCAGAUGACUUUUGGUCAACAGAACACAGAGAAAGAAGCUCAUGAAAUUCUUAGCUAUUCAUUUGAUCAUGGCAUCAAUAUUCUUGACACUGCAGAAGCUGUGAGUUUGUUUCUUUUUUUUUUUUUUUUUUAAAAUCCAUUUAUUUCUGUUUGCAUUCAUAGAUCAAAUGGAAAACGGUUCAUUAACAACUGAUAUAUGACGCCAAAGUGGCAAAAAUUGCAAACGUAAAAGAUAGUAGUACCUUAUUUUGCAAAAAAAACACUCUGAGAAUUGUCGAUAAGAAAGCGUUGGAAAUACCAAACUGAAAAUGCGUCACUUGUUUCUUCUUUCAGUAGACAAUGGCGUUCUCGAGUACCUUCUCCGUUACUCCGGCAUUUCUCUGCGACAACAUUCGCUGGUUCCCUCAUCCCAGUCAUAUGCAUCAGGCAGUAAAUGCUCGUACGAGGCUCAGACCCAUCAGUGCCAAGCUCGCAGAGAAGGCCGCGUUGCGGUACAAGAAACUU
rnacentral:lncRNA from 1 species